AAGGCAUACGAAGGUCUGUCCACUUGACGAGGAUAGAACCUUAGAUAGGAAUGAUAGACAAACAAGAUUCAUGAAGCCAACUCCUAAUAGACAGGACAAGGCUAUAGUGAAGGCAUUGGUUUUUGUACAUUUUUUGAAGAUAAUAAAUUUGAACAAAACAAUGCAAGGACAAUAAAAACCGGCGUUAUGAUGUUCGUAUCAAAAUGUACUAUGAUAAAAUCAUGCUUUUGAAAAGAUAUUUUGAACGUUGGUCAUAACAUAUCCCAUUUCCUUUUCUUUGAAUUUUACAAUUAGACAGGCAGUGGUACUUUAACAUGUUCUACUGGUGUCGUCAAUCAUUUUGAAGGGUAUGAAUGCAAGUAGCACCUAACUUCCUACAUGAAUGCAGGGCAGAUGUGUACAAGAUACUGCCAUUCAUUCCACAGGCCACCAUAUAUGGGCCAUGGUUCACAGACUAGAUUGAUUGGAUGAUCCUAGCCACUUGAUCAGAGCAGGCCAAAAAAAAGGGCAGUGGGGAUUUUUUUGGUCAAAUCGACUAGUCCUACAGUCCUGGUGUUACCAGGUCCGAUGUGUUGGGACCUACCUGACGAUUGUGUGAGGAGCUUGUACAUGUUUGCCACGUGUCCCAUUGGGAAUGUUAUUCAGUAACAUGUGCAAUAAUUUGUGUUCAAUUAAGAUUCCUUGUAACAGGCAGGGUCUGGGUUGCAAUAUACACCUUAGCACAUGCCGUGUCACCAUUCACAAAAACCAAGUACAGGAUGUGUGAAAUGGCGCCUGGAAUUCUCUACCAUACAGUUUUUAACGGUUUCUAGAACGCACUAUGCCAACAACUAGAUUACAAUAUCAAAGGAGUGGAGAAAACAUGGCUAUUCCACUCCUUACUUUCAUCAGAUAACUGAAAGGAGAAGAUGGUCCCAAUGCAGUUAGGUUACAUGGUCUCUGGAGAGAAGCUUAUAUCAUCAGAGCAUGCAAAUUUAGGUGCUUGAUAAUUAACAACAAGACUUUUACUUUUGGCAUGUCUUAAUCAUUGUGAAGGUAUUCUAGCAUGUCGGGAUGGAUAUAUGAACAUAGUGAUGGGGCAAACUGAAGAAUAUAUCAAUGGUCAACUGAACAAUAAAUAUGGCAAUGCUUUCAUCUGAGGAAUAAUGGUAACAUGUGUCCAUUUUUCCUACUAAACAUGAUUUUUGCUUUUGAUUGAUGGAAGGCCAGGAUGUCAUUUUUCUCUGUUGAUGCAGUUCUCUCUCUCAGUACAUCAAACAGGACACUUGCAGAAGGGGCUUAGAGAAAAUAGAGGCGUUUCUUCAAGUGAGCUGAAGACUUGUUGCAGAAACCACUUGGCAGAUGUCAUACAGUAAACUGACAACAUCAAGGUUGAAACUUGAAUGGAGGGAAAGACAUCAUUCACCAUACUACUGCAUGUGAAUGGUACAUCAGAUAGAAGUAUCUUGGUUCUUGGAGCAAAUUUUCUUGUUCUCAUUUGCUUGUUUUGAUUAAAUCCUAGUAGUAGCGUAUUUAAAGCUCAGCACACUAGUGUAUUGCAUUUUCUUUAUUGAUGCAACCACAAAGACCCUGGACGGGCUCUUGGAUGCCUUGUUGCAUCAGAAGCACCAAUCUCAAAACAGUUGGGUACGGGUUCUAUACCAGUGUAUGCACAUGAUUCAUGAUUAGCUUACUCCGGAUAAGCAUUAAACUCUCACAUGCAAAACUUUA